rnacentral:lncRNA from 1 species
GGAGACUAGGGUCACCCCAGGGCACUUCUCUUGAAAGAAGGUCCCAGAAGACUGGAGGGAACCCCAACCUCAGACAUUUGCAAGCAGGAAUUCAAGUGGUCAUCCAUCCAAGAGAGAGUCGUAGAUCUUAAGUGGAACAGGAAUUCUAACUGGACAGACCUCUUAUGAGAAUCUGGAGCUUUUGAAUUCACCCAUGCUUGGUCCUCCCCUCCCCCAACCAUCCCUGUUUAUUUAAUCGAAUUAACCAGCAAAAGUGGCUGAUAAAAGGACGCAAGGUUUUUCUCUAGCAAAGAAAGGUUCUAGGAGAUGGACAGACAGUGGCCCAUCCUGUGGGCAGGGCACAACAAGCAGCUCUUUGAGAUGGAGGCGUAUGUGUAGGGCUAAAGUCCCACUGCAGAGUUGGCCUCACCUGAAGAGUGACUCUUAUGGUUUGGAUGUGAGGUGUCCCCCUAAAGCUCAGGUAUGAGACAAUGCUGGAAGAUUUAGAAGAGAAAUGAUUGGGUUAUGAGAGUCUUAACCCAGUCAGUGAUUUCACCCCCUGAUGGGGUUAACCGAGUGGUAACUGAAGGUGGGCAGGGUGUGGCUGGGGGAGGUGGGACCCUAGGAUGUGCCUUUGGGGUAUAUAUUUUGUACCUUGAGAGUGGAGUCUCUUUCUGCCUCCUGAUCAUCAUGUGAGCUGCUUUUCUCCGCCACAUUCUUCCUCAUGAUGUUCUCCCUCCCCUCGAACCCUAAGGAAUGGAGCCAGUGUCUAUGAACCUCUGAAACUGUGAGCCUUCAAACAAACUUGUCUCCCUCUACAAUUGUUCUGGUCAGAUCUUUUAAUAACAGCAGCGACUGGGUAAGCUAUGAUAGGGCUUCCCUCCCAGCACAAACUGACCCGGACACUCUUCUCAACAGACCCACAGUCCCCAAAGCCCAUCUAACCAACCAACACAGCUGUGUGUGCUCAUCACUGGGACAGCCCUGAGC